UCCAGACUUUGAUUAUGGCUCAGGAUGAACGCUAGCUACAGGCUUAACACAUGCAAGUCGAGGGGAAACGACAUCGAAAGCUUGCUUUUGAUGGGCGUCGACCGGCGCACGGGUGAGUAACGCGUAUCCAACCUGCCCAUCACUUGGGGAUAACCUUGCGAAAGUAAGACUAAUACCCAAUGAUAUCUCUAGAAGACAUCUGAAGGAGAUUAAAGAUCUAUCGGUGAUGGAUGGGGAUGCGUCUGAUUAGCUUGUUGGCGGGGUAACGGCCCACCAAGGCGACGAUCAGUAGGGGUUCUGAGAGGAAGGUCCCCCACAUUGGAACUGA
rnacentral:rRNA from 1 species